UCCGUAGGUGGAAGGUUAAGUCAGAGGUGAAAUCCUGCAGCUCAACUGUAGAAUUGCCUUUGAUACUGGCUUUCUUGAAUUAUUGUGAGGUAGCUAGAAUAUGUAGUGUAGCGGUGAAAUGCAUAGAUAUUACAUAGAAUACCGAUUGCGAAGGCAGGUUACUAACAAUAUAUUGACACUGAUGGACGAAAGCGUGGGUAGCGAACG
rnacentral:rRNA from 1 species